rnacentral:rRNA from 1 species
GGUUGAUCCUGCCAGUAGUCAUAUGCUUGUCUCAAAGAUUAAGCCAUGCAUGUCUCAGUGUAAACUUUUAAACAGUGAAACUGCGAAUGGCUCAUUAAAACAGUUAUAGUUUAUUUGAUACUCAUUUUUACAUGGAUAACCGUGGGAAUUCUAGGGCUAAUACAUGCGUAAACCCUCUAAGGGAUGUGUUUAUUAGAUAAAAACUAACGCUGUGGUUAAACACAGUAAUGUUGGAAUGAUAAUAACCGAUCGAAUCGCAUAUUAUGCGAUGAAUCAUUCAAGUUUCUGACCU